UAAUGGUAAAAGUCCCUGUCUAACAGGA
rnacentral:piRNA from 1 species